AUUAAGUUGAGGUGCACUGAGGUCUGGAAAUUGCCCUCAGUCAUGCAGCUAAAAAGCAGCAUUUCCAAGUUGUGGACCACAAUCUGAUUUCAAAUGCUAUGCGUGCAUUUAGCCAUUAAGCAUCACCGCGUCCUAUGUUAAUACCCACAGUGAGAGUGAAGAUUCCUUUCAGUGGUUCAGGCAUAAAAUUUGGACAGCUGCCAUUUACUGCCCAUCUGGCAUUUGUCCCCUUGCCUUUACCCUGACUUUCUUUCCAGGAACCACUCUCCUCCACCCUUGUUUAUGGGCCUUACUUGGGGCUGACUCCAUCACUGAAUCCAGGAGUAGUCACAGAAACCCAGGUGUGGCAGUCAACAUAUCCAUUCACCUGAGCAAAAGAGAUAUAUCCAGGGAUAAACAUGAGACCCAAAUUCAUCAAGUCAGAACUAAUCCCAAAACUUCUCACUGGGCAGGCUCUCUGCAGACAGGAUGGUUGCCUGGCAUAUCCAUCUUGCCACCAUGAGAGAAGGACUUCAGCCUGCCCAAGAAUGGAUUCCAUCCAGAGGACAAAAGUGCCCAGAAAAGAGAAAGCAAGACCAUGUUCUCCUCAGAAUAUGUCAGCCUCAGAACCAGCCCUCACUUACUGCUGGCCUUGACAUUUAAAUGAACCCACAAAUUCUCAGUUGUUACUGAAGUGGGCUUGAGACGGUUUUUUGUCACAUUGGGUGUGCUGAAAUAGUUGUGGACUAUUAUAGAAAGGUGGCCUGAAAUUUGACAAGAAGAGGACAUAUGAAUGUCUUCUGUAAGGUUAGAUGAAGAUCCCAAUGCACUGAGUCAAGGUCUCUGAAUCGUGGGGAACAUGAGGUAGUUACCCCAAGCAGAAGCAGAGGCCACAUCCCUCAGCUCGGUGUCCAGUGGCCCCACAUUCAUUCAUACUGGGAGAUAGCAGCAAGGAAUGAUACUUUCUUUGCAAUACAUGGUACUGUCGAAAUGAAAAACUCAAUAAUCCCUUACAGGAUCUCCAUCAUUUUUUUCGGGGGUGGGGGGUAGCUAGGGACGUAUAGACUCUAUACUAACAAUCUUGGCCCUUAACUAGAAAUAUCAUGGCCGACCAGUGACCUUUUGGAUACAUAUGGACCUCAAGCCAAAUACAGCCACAGCAAGGCCACAGGCUCAUGAAGAGGAAGAAGGCAGGGUCGGUGCCCAGGCAUCCUUCGAGAAGCUCUGUCUCCAACUUUUCUCAUCUGGAAAGCCCCUCUUCCUUUUGCUCAUUGCAAAAUCUGACUUAACACUCUUUUAUCUGGCAGUGCUUAAAGUGAGUUUGACCUGAGGUCCACAAUUGCUAAUUGUUGAAAGAGAACUAGAAACACUUGCUUAAUUCCGAGGGUCAACAUCAAAAACAAACCUGACCAAAGUUGCAGAGGAGGUAUUUUACAACUAACAACAACCUUAACCUGACUUCGUUUAUCAAAUGUCCUCAGAAUUAUGAUACACCCAGAUCUUUGGCAUUGUAUUUUUUUGUCCACCGAACAAAACCGGGAAGCUACCAAAAGUCAUGCAUGGAAUUCAUGUGUACCACUAGCAGUGUGUGAGAUCAGCAGAAUGUUUCUGAAAGCUAAGAGCUGUAUUCAAAGAACUGAUCACAAUUGCAUUUGAAAUAAGUUAUCUGCCACUAUUUCUUUUGGCCAUAAUGUGGCAAAUGUUAUAUAGACAAGAAAAUAUUUAGUAAAAGUUGGAAGUAUUUGCAAAAUAUUUGUGCAGAAGUUUGCAUCUUUAAUUGUAUGACCUCAUUGUAGUUGCACAGGGAGACUCCAGCUACAUCUUAUCUUUUCAAAAUACUCCUGAGCAAUGGCUUUCCUACAACCUCUUUGGAAUGUAGCAUUAUCAGCUUCUAUUUCCCCAAUUUCCUAUAAUUCAAUAAAAAGUCAGCAAUAACAUGUCCAAGGGCAUGUUAUCUCAAAUGUGGAUUUUAAUGAAACACAAAUAUGCCCAUGCAUGUUUUAGCAAAUUGUUCUGGACCAUGCAAAAAUGCAUUAAAAGUGGAGGCAUAUUUACAUUUGUUUUGCAUUUGUUAUUUAAGAGGUCAGACUAUGCAAAGUGCAUCCACUUUUGUCAAUAGCUUCAAGGAGAAGAAAAUUUUAUUAAAGUUAGAUUCAUGACAAACAGAUGAGUUAAUAUCUGUCAUUUGGGGGAAAAGGUUUUGAGAGGCUACAUUUUUAAAAUAAUAGGCAUUUAUUACUUUUCCAAAACUGAGAAUACUUAACAAAUGUGCCUGUCUAUUUUAAACCAGGUAUACUGGUCUGCAGGUAAAUUUCCAAUUAAAAAGCCAACUUAAUUAUAAGCAGUUUACAGCACAAAGGGAGAUUGUUAUAUAGUCUGGAAUUGGCCCUGGAAAUUUUAAUAUAAAAAAUAAAAUUAGUAGUAGAAGAAUAAAAGACAUUUAGUGAUUUCCAAAAACUUUUAGAGACA
rnacentral:lncRNA from 1 species